GCACCAGCUAAUGAGUACAGAACAUGGGAUUGGAUUGGCUGGGUGACGAUUGAUUACCGUCGAGCCAUCUGCACUUGUGAUUCAGUUGCUGCGAAAUGUUUUGCAAUGAACGUUUACAAUCAUGCGCAUGAUUCCUAUGAUAAAUCUAAAUGCGUCAAUGACACAAAUGUAUUAUUUUAAACGACAAUUAGAUUGAAUUCGUAGACUAACAAUGCAAUUCUGCACUCGUAUAAAGCGAGUUAUAAAGCGUA